GGAGAGGUGGCAGAGUGGUUGAAUGCACCGCACUCGAAAUGCGGCAUACGGGCAACCGUAUCGGGAGUUCGAAUCUCCCCCUCUCCG
rfam:Microvirga aerilata strain BSC39 scf7180000028495, whole genome shotgun sequence.